rnacentral:rRNA from 1 species
GAUGAACGCUGGCGGCGUGCCUAAUACAUGCAAGUCGAGCGAACAGAUGAGGAGCUUGCUCCUCUGACGUUAGCGGCGGACGGGUGAGUAACACGUGGAUAACCUACCUAUAAGACUGGGAUAACUUCGGGAAACCGGAGCUAAUACCGGAUAAUAUAUUGAACCGCAUGGUUCAAUAGUGAAAGACGGUUUUGCUGUCACUUAUAGAUGGAUCCGCGCCGCAUUAGCUAGUUGGUAAGGUAACGGCUUACCAAGGCAACGAUGCGUAGCCGACCUGAGAGGGUGAUCGGCCACACUGGAACUGAGACACGGUCCAGACUCCUACGGGAGGCAGCAGUAGGGAAUCUGCCGCAAUGGGCGAAAGCCUGACGGAGCAACGCCGCGUGAGUGAUGAAGGUCUUCGGAUCGUAAAACUCUGUUAUUAGGAAGAACAAAUGUGUAAGUAACUAUGCACGUCUUGACGGUACCUAAUCAGAAAGCCACGGCUAACUACGUG